CAAUAGCGUAUAUUAAAGUUGUUGCGGUUAAAAGCUCGUAGUUGGAUUUCUGCCGAGUAUCUGGUGGUUCAUACCAUGUAUGCAAUCUACUGUGAACUUGGCAUCCUCGUAAAAUUCGCGUGUGCUCUUAAUUGGGCGUGCGUGGGAUUUACGACUUUUACUUUGAGGAAAUUGGAGUGUUUACGGCAAGCAAAUGCUUUGAACAUAUUAGCAUGGAAUAAUAAUAUAGGACCUUGGGGCUAUUUUAUUGGUUUCUAGAACUGAGGUAAUGAUUAAUAGGGUCAGUUGGGGGCAUUCGUAUUAACGCGUCAGAGGUGGAAUUCUUGGAUUGCGUUACGACGAACUACUGCGAAAGCAUUUGCCAAGGAUGUUUUUCAUUGAUCAAGAACGAAAGUAUGGGGAUCGAAGAUGAUUAGAU
rnacentral:rRNA from 1 species